AUUCACAUGCAUCGGUGUGCAAUGCACUUUGGGUGCCACCCAGGCUUCGCAGCAUCAGCACUAGAUGGUGCCUAGGGAAGCAUGAUGGUUCUUAGGGAAGCAUGAAAGAGGUGUCUUACUGCAGUACACACCCCAUACAUAACUCAUUUUGACGGUGGUAAUACAUUGUGCGGCUAUAUUAAUUCAAUGCUAAUGCAUUACUGUUGUCAGUCAUCAUAAAAUGGGCUCUGCCAUUUUUUUUUUUUUUUUUAAGGAAAUAGCUGCCAUGUUUUUCGUGCUUAGUUCCGAAAUGCCGGUUGGUUUUGGAAAGCUUGUGGUAAUGAAAAUAGUCAAAAACACACGUAAAACACAUGGAAAAUUAUAAAUUUGAACACUAUUUUGAACAGUAUGGAGGCUUUACUAGUAGGCAUUGUUUUCCAGUUUAUACCAGGUGUUCAUUCUUUAUUGGAAACAUUUAUUAGAAAUUACCUGUGGCACAUAGCAUAGUCGCAUCAGAUGGAUUACUAGCACGACUAAUUGCAGUGUGAUAAUAGCUAAUAAAUCUGAAGUGCCUGCAACUGUUCAAUCUUGCUCAAGAUACUUGAGCUUGCUCUACACCUGCUUGGAAUGAAAGACAAUUCUUUUUCCAAGAUUUAUCAGAUAUCAAUUUCCCCUCCUCAUCACUUAGGUCUGGUAUUAAAUGUCCUCAUGCAGAGGAAGUCUUAGUGUAGUAUGCCGAGGAGCACGACAUCCUCCAGUGUAUUUUCUCUUUUCUAAGGAAGCAAUUUCGACGAAUAUUAAAAAUUUGUAAGGUGAAAUUAAAGGUGGCCUUGUGUAGUAACCUCUUACCAGCUGCCUAUAGUCAUGUGCACAAAGUUUCUAACAUCUGUAAUGCUCUUAGCAGUUGUGAGCAAUGACUGUGGCAUCAUGCCACCACAUCCCUUUCAACAGCUCCUGUUAAUUUGAGCAUUUAUAUUGAGGUGCUGAACAGAGUAGCAAAGGUUCCAAUAGAGCUGGUGCCCUGAGUGAGGCUGUAUGUUUUUCCCACAUAGACUGUGCAGACUUUUGCAAACACGUCACUUCUGGCUUGUGGCCUCUUGUGGCCUUUUUGCAAAGGAAAGCUGCAUUGCUUUCUGCCUUUGCAAAAAGCAAUGAAAAAGAAACUCAGUUCUGCCCCAAAGCCAAAGCAUUGAUAGUGAUAGCAAUGUAUUAGAAACCACACGAACUAAGAAUCGUAGUUUCAUCAACCAUAUAAAUUGCAGUAAGCUUUCACUUACUAAUUAAAUUAACAAGCAUGGUGUCAUGCAUGCACAUGCAAACAUCAUGAAUAGAUUGCACUCGACUGCUGGCGUGAUGAAAGGCACAAACAGAGGGGAGCACACAUUUUGUGCUGCCCUCGCUUAAACACAUCUCCGAAACGAUCACGUGACCUCCAACACUAGGCAUGCAAGAAACAGUGCACAUGAAGCGACCACCCAUCUCUGCUCAUCCAAUCUUUGUGCCUAUUGCAGAUUACCUCCAAAAUAUGGUGUGUGGGCUGCAUAUGCAUUUAGCUGCGCCUACAGCCAUGCACAGCCAUGGCUGGGCUGAGUGGUGGGCUGAACCACGUGCUGAACUCCUCCACCACUCGCGUGCACUUGACCACGUGACCUCCAACAUUGGUUGCGCAAGAAGAAGGAACCGCCUGAAAAACAGCGCUGGUCACUCUCGUGAGCUAAGGAGCACCACACAAUUUACAGGAACCAUGCCACAGAAGCCAGGGAUACCCUGCCAUUCCAGUGAUUGCCUUCAAGAUAGGACGCGUGCAGCCGCAUUCAGAUGUUGCAGCUGCAGUAGAAGACGGUGCCCACCUUCCCUGCCUUCCUUUCUUGAGAGCAUGAGGGGACACUGCAUCAAACCACCAACCUUCCCGGCUCACCCUUGCAAGCUUUCCCUAGCACCUCCAGCAUACGGUGCGCAGCUGUGAUCUUGCUGCCCUUGGACUUUAUACGGAACAUCAUGGCAACACCGACGGCGGUAAUUUUCCUGGAGUGUCCAUAUAAUUGCUAUUGCAAUAAAAAUAUUGGUAGUGAUAGUGUAACUACAGAGAAGGUUCAGUGCAAAAUUUUGUGAAACAAAUAGCAAAACUACAUGUUUUCCAUAAUGAAGGUAGAAAAAGCAUCGCUAUUACAGCUCGAUGAUGGAAGUGACGUGGAACCAACUUUGCCUGACAUGAAACAAUAUGCCUGCUUGUUCUGCACACAUAGUGUACGCUUCUUGCUGCUGCACUUCCAAGAUGUUUUUUCCACAAUUUAACAUGUAAUUGUGAUGAGGGUAACAGUUCGGUCAUGGGCUCUUAUUCAUCAUGUGUGGCUAAGCAGGGUAUUCCUAUGUGCGCAAGCGAGAGCUCUGUGAAAGAUCAAUGGAGGUGGAAAAUUCUGGUUGCUUCUGAUUGGACGCAUCAUGGUGUCAGCUCUCUAAAGGGUGUGACCACUGGUGGAUCAUGACGCACCUGAAGAAUAUGACAUGUGACUCACCGGUGAGUCACAAUGCGCAGGAAUCAGAACUUCAAGAAAUUCUGUGAUUGAUGACAUCUGCCUUACUGCGUAUCUGUGCGGCAAACUGCUAUAGAUGCCCGUGGCCUGAUACGAGGUAAUUCAAAAUGCUUUUGCUGUAUAAUUAAAAAUCUAUGGUUUCCAGCUAUACAGUUUUGUCACAAUUACAUUGGUGACGUCUACUAUCUAUACUUACCACAUUGAGCUUAACUGAGAUUUCCCUGCAGUUGGUCAUUAAAGAAAGCACAGAAGUAGCUAGGGGUGCUAAAAUAUUCAAAAGCAAUGUAUUCAAUAGCUUCUGGAUAUUUUACAGGGCACAAAUAGACCAGUACCACUGCCCAGGUGGCACUGCAAGAACACCAGCCAACAGCGACCUCCAAGCUGUGUUUAUGGGCUUCGAGCAGUACAAUACAUGAACGUUUGAUGCUGAGGUACAUCUGUUCGCUAUAAUGUUGCAAUGCGAAUUUCAAAGCAUUUUGUAGACAGAAAGCUUUGUUACACAUGCUGUUCAUUGCAAAGGAAGGAAAUAUUAUGCGAAAUACAGAUACAGCACAUGAGAAGUUGUUGACACAGUUUCACAGUGUUGCUGCGACACUGUUGUGAGGCUUAUUUGCUUCAUGCACAGCAACUCGGAACUGUAGGCCCAGAAGUUUGCAUGAAAACAUUGCUUAGAUGGAAAAAAAGCGAGCACAACUGAUUUGUCACUGUGCCAUUCAUCUAUUACUGCAACAUAUAGAGUUACACCGUUAUGUCACAAGUUUGUUUUGAUUGUCAAAUCAGUGAUCCAUACUGCAACAGGAUGCAUUGCUCUGUGAGUUUUGCUUGAUUGCCCAUGUCACAUUAUUAAUCUUCAGAAACUGACUUCAAGACCGGCAAGUUUAGAAGGAAGUUUAGAAAGUUGUGUUGGUUUGAAUUCUGGGUGUGCAAAUAUCAAAUUUGCCAGAAUUCUUUCAACGUGUUAAAAUAAAAGUUAUUUUGGCAAGGAUAAAAAUGAACUGGUGGGCUUGAUACACUAAAAUAUAACUAAUUUGACCUUUUAAAGCCAAGUUUUAUAUGGCUAGGUGAAAUGAAAAUCCCUCUGUCUGCGCCUGUGUGCAGAAAACUAUCAUCAGGAAUGGCUCGAGUGUCGGCGUCUUCAUUCACAGCUAGCUAGUUGGCGCCCUUCGAAGCAACUGCGCGAACGCACUCGCGCCACUGCACUCGCAUUCGUCAUCGUCGUCUUUUUCACC